rnacentral:misc_RNA from 1 species
GACAAACUUGAGGAAGCAAUAACAAGGAGUGAUAACAUUCAUGGAACUCUUUCAUAUUGCAUCAAUGUUUCACAUGCUUUUGUUAAUCGUAGAGAAUAUCGUCGUGAGGUGCUUCGACUUCUUGUUAAUGUUUAUCAGAAGCUGCCUUCUCCUGAUUAUUUGAGCAUUUGUCAAUGUCUCAUGUUCCUGGAUGAACCUGAAGGUGUAGCAAGCAUACUGGAAAAGCUUUUGCG